rnacentral:lncRNA from 1 species
UCAGCAUGCCAAAAAAUUUUGCUUCUGUGGAAGGGUUCUUAACUAUGCCAAAUUAAGGCAGCCAGCACACCCAGCAGGGGUCCUGGGCCACACUCUUUAGAUGGUCAGGGCUCAGUCUCACAUUCUUAUGCUGUUGGUUAACUUAAAGUAGCACAGUUGCUAAGCAGAAAGAAGGCAAUUUGAGCACUGAGUGCAAACUUGAUCACAUCCUUUGCUGCUGACACCGGAAGAAUUUGAACCUCUGCGAUACAGCUUCUUUGCAAUUUUUUCAAAUGAAUUUUUUUGCUUUAUUUAACUCUUUGAUAGAAAAGACAGUGUAUUUCUUUUUCUCUUACUCAGUGGGAGAAAUGGUUCAGCAAUCAAGAGUGCUUGCUGCACUUCAGACUGCCUGAAUCCCAUCCCGGCACCCAUGUCAGAUGGCUCUCAAUUGCCUGAAACCUCAGCUGCAUGGGGGUCCUAUGCUCUUUUAUGGCCGCCUUUGGGCACCCAAACACAUAUGCCAGAAACGUGGACACAUACAGGCAGGGGCUGGUGAGAUGGCUUAGCAAUGACUGCUUUUCUGAAGGUUCUGAAUAUCCCACCAACCACAUGGUGGCUCACAACCACCUGUAAUGAGAUCUACGCCCUCUUCUGGUGUAUCUGACAGCUACAGUGUACUUACAUGAUAAAUAAAUCCUCGGGCCAGCGAGAGAAGAAAAAAGUAUUUGUUUAUUUAUUUUAAAUAAAUCUUUAAAUACAAAUGUGUCUGACACAAAGAUCCAUGCAGAUGCAGAGGCUUGUCUAUACUUUGGAAGCGUCCUACCGAGCUGUCUGCUAAGAUGCUCUAGGAACAUGAAGUCCCGC